rnacentral:rRNA from 1 species
GAUGAACGCUAGCGGCAGGCCUAACACAUGCAAGUCGAGGGGCAUCAUGGCGUAGCAAUACGCUGAUGGCGACCGGCGCACGGGUGCGUAACGCGUAUGGAACCUACCCACCGCAGGGGGAUAACCCGCCGAAAGGCGGACUAAUACCCCAUGGUUCCCCGACCCUGCCUGGGGUUGGGGGUAAAGCCUACGGGCGGCGGUGGAUGGCCCUGCGUGCCAUUAGCUGGCUGGUGGGGUAACGGCCCACCAGGGCGACGAUGGCUAGGGGGUCUGAGAGGAAGACCCCCCACACUGGGACUGAGACACGGCCCAGACUCCUACGGGAGGCAGCAGUGAGGAAUAUUGGACAAUGGAUGGAAAUCUGAUCCAGCCAUGCCGCGUGCAGGAAGACGGCCCUAUGGGUUGUAAACUGCUUUUCCAGGGAGAGAAACUUACGCACGUGUUGCGUGACUGACGGUACCCUGGGAAUAAGCAUCGGCUAACUCCGUGCCAGCAGCCGCGGUAAACUGUCUACG